rnacentral:rRNA from 1 species
CGAUGAGAUCCCUUCGGGGAAGGAUUAGCGGCGAACGGGUGAGGAACACGUGAGGAAUCUGCCUUCAACACUGGGAUAACUCCGGGAAACCGGGGCUAAUACCGGAUAUGAGCCUUGAUCGCAUGAUCGGGGCUGGAAAGUUUUCGGUUGAAGAUGACUUCGCGGCCUAUCAGCUUGUUGGUGAGGUAAUGGCUCACCAAGGCGACGAUCCGUAGCUGGUCUGAGAGGACGGUCAGCCACACUGGGACUGAGACACGGCCCAGACUCC